rnacentral:rRNA from 1 species
GACGAACGCUGGCGGCGUGCCUAAUACAUGCAAGUUGAGCGCUGAAGGUUGGUACUUGUACCAACUGGAUGAGCAGCGAACGGGUGAGUAACGCGUGGGGAAUCUGCCUUUGAGCGGGGGACAACAUUUGGAAACGAAUGCUAAUACCGCAUAAAAACUUUAAACACAAGUUUUAAGUUUGAAAGAUGCAAUUGCAUCACUCAAAGAUGAUCCCGCGUUGUAUUAGCUAGUUGGUGAGGUAAAGGCUCACCAAGGCGAUGAUACAUAGCCGACCUGAGAGGGUGAUCGGCCACAUUGGGACUGAGACACGGCCCAAACUCCUACGGGAGGCAGCAGUAGGGAAUCUUCGGAAAUGGACGAAAGUCUGACCGAGCAACGCCGCGUGAGUAAAGAAGGUUUUCGGAUCGUAAAACUCUGUUGGUAGAGAAGAACGUUGGUGAGAGUGGAAAGCUCAUCAAGUGACGGUAACUACCCAGAAAGGGACGGCUAACUACGUG